UCAAGUGACUAAGUGUAUGUGGUGGAUGCCUUGGCGAUCACAGGCGAUGAAGGACGUGACAGCCUGCGAAAAGCUGCGGGGAGUUGGCAAAUAAACUUUGAUCCGCAGAUGUCCGAAUGGGGGAACCCACCUCUUUUGAGGUAUCUCUAGCUGAAUACAUAGGCUAGGGAGGCGAACGGAGUGAACUGAAACAUCUAAGUAACUCCAGGAAAAGAAAUCAACCGAGAUUCCGAAAGUAGCGGCGAGCGAAAUUGGAUCAGCCUAAUGCUCGAUAACAACGGCUAAUACUGGCACAGUCUGGAAAGUCUGGCUAUAGAGGGUGAUAGCCCCGUACAGGAAAUUAGCGUUGUGGUACUAAGUGCAUGAAAAGUAGGGCGGGACACGUGACAUCCUGUCCGAAGAUGGGGGGACCAUCCUCCAAGGCUAAAUACUCGUGAUCGACCGAUAGCGUACCAGUACUGUGAAGGAAAGGCGAAAAGAACCCCGGGAGGGGAGUGAAAUAGAACCUGAAACCGCAUACAUACAAACAGUAGGAGCCUCGUUAAGGGGUGACUGCGUACCUUUUGCAUAAUGGGUCAGCGACUUACGUUUAAUGGCAAGCUUAACCGAUUAGGGGAGGCGUAGCGAAAGCGAGUUCGAAUAGAGCGAUUUGAGUCGUUAGGCGUAGACCCGAAACCAGAUGAUCUAUCCAUGGUCAGGUUGAAGAUGUGGUAACACACAUUGGAGGACCGAACCGACUAGUGUUGCAAAAUUAGCGGAUGAACUGUGGAUAGGGGUGAAAGGCUAAACAAAUCUGGAGAUAGCUGGUUCUCCCCGAAAACUAUUGAGGUAGUGCCUCGUGUAUAACUCCAGGGGGUAGAGCACUGUUAUGGCUAGGGGGACAUGGCGUCUUACCAAACCAUGGCAAACUCCGAAUACUUGGAAGUUGAGCACGGGAGACAGAGCACCGGGUGCUAACGUCCGGACUCAAGAGGGAAACAACCCAGACCGCCGGCUAAGGUCCCUAAUAUUGUCUAAGUGGAAAACGAAGUGGAAAGGCUAAAACAGUCAGGAAGUUGGCUUAGAAGCAGCCAUCCUUUAAAGAAAGCGUAAUAGCUCACUGAUCGAGUCUUUCUGCGCGGAAGAUGUAACGGGGCUAAGACAAUAACCGAAGCCGCGGAUUCACACGUAAGUGUGAGUGGUAGGGGAGCGUUCUGUAAGCCUGCGAAGGUGGCUUGUAAAGGCUGCUGGAGGUAUCAGAAGUGCGAAUGCUGACAUGAGUAACGUUAAAGUGGGUGAAAAGCCCACUCGCCGUAAGCCCAAGGUUUCCUGCUCUACGUUCAUCGGAGCAGGGUGAGUCGGCCCCUAAGGUGAGGCUGAUAAGCGUAACUGAUGGGAACAAGGUUAAUAUUCCUUGACCGCCGUUGAGUGCGAAGGGGGGACGGAGUAUUGAAGAUCAUCCGGGUGUUGGAUAUCCCGGUUUGCGCGCGUAGGAGGCUGAUAGGCAAAUCCGUCAGCGAAUCUCCGAGGCAAAGCAUCGAGACCUUUUAGGUCGAAGUGAUUGGAUGUGCUCCCAGGAAAAGCCUCUAAGCUCCAGCUCAACGGGACCGUACCGCAAACCGACACUGGUGGGCGAGCUGAAUAUGCUCAGGCGCUUGAGAGAACUCAGGAGAAGGAACUCGGCAAAUUGACACCGUAACUUCGGGAUAAGGUGUGCCUUUGUAGUGUGAAGGAAGAAACAUCCGGAGCAUGAAGAGGUCUCAGAGAAUUGGUGGCUGCGACUGUUUACUAAAAACACAGCACUCUGCAAAGACGAAAGUCGACGUAUAGGGUGUGAUGCCUGCCCGGUGCUGGAAGAUUAAUUGAUGGGGUGCAAGCUCCUGAUCGAAGUCCCAGUAAACGGCGGCCGUAACUAUAACGGUCCUAAGGUAGCGAAAUUCCUUGUCGGGUAAGUUCCGACCUGCACGA
rnacentral:rRNA from 1 species